CUUGGUGUUUUCCCUUUUUCUCCAUAAGGAGAUGGGAGCAUUGGCUGAUGGGCCUGUGGAGGGUAUGUCACCCCCUUAUGCAACACUGAGCACCCUCAUCCGGUGCCUCUCCCGUUUCUGACAUGGGGUUCACACUUCGUUCUAUGUACUCACUACUGCCAAGUAGGUGUUAAGAACUUUCUAUUGGCCAGGGUCUAUUCCAAGUCCUGGUGAUAGUCCUUAUAAUUGAGGACACCAGGUACAUUCAGGUACAGGGAAUGCAGAGAGGACAACAUACACAUAAUUACAUAUGUCAGCAUGUCAGUGGUGUGCUAACGUACAAAUAGGGUCAAAAGGUGGAGGAGAACUGAGUGUGUAUGUCUGUGAGAAGGAUGUUUUAGGCAGCCUGGUCAGGGAAGGCCUUUCAGAUAAGGUAAUGGUGGGGCUAAGGCCAGAAUGAAGUGAGACUGCUUUCAGUGCGUCUGCGGUAAGAGCCCUCCAGGCAGAAAAGCAGCAAGUGCCAAGGCCCUAAGGUGAGACUAUAUUAGGUGUGUUUGAAGAAGAGGUUAGUAUGGCUGGAGUAAAUGAAUAGGAAAAGUAUAAGGGACCUAAUGAGGUAGGACCUGAUGCUGUUGUUGGGUCUUGGGCUUUUGUACUGAGUGGAUCUGAAGCCACUGGAGGUUUUGGCCAGCAGAGUGAGAUAACGAGACUUACCUUUUGAGGGGAUCACUCCAGGUACUAUGUUGAGAAUAGACUGAAGAUAAGUUGAGAGGAGACAGGGCAGUCAGUGAAGAGUCUACUGCAGAAGUUUAGGGGGAGAUGACUGGAUUUGACCAGGGCUGGUGAGAAGUGACCAGAAUCUGGACAUGUUUGAUGGUAGACCUACAGGAUUUGUUGUGGGUCAGAGCACAUCCGUGUGGCUUCCCUCUCCCUGGCAAGGUGGCUGGCCUAGUGCGUGUUCCUCAUGGGGGGAGGCAUGGUCCUGAUGAGGCACUCAGCCUUUCCAGAGUUCUUUUUGUGCCUUGAGGAAGGCUUGAUUCCCAACAACAGAUUGAAAAACAAGAUGGUGCUCAGAGGACAAGUUUUCUUAAUUUAGAAGCUCACUUCAACACUUAUGGCAUAAGAAAUCUUGAAAGCGAUACCUUAGAAAAAUCAUUGUGAGUGCCGUCCAUUUUUUCUUCAGCCAAGAAGGACGUUGAUGUAGAGGCACAGUAACUGCCAUGGCUUCCAGUGCUCUGGUGAGACCUCAGAUGCGUGGCCUUCUGGCGAAGCGUCUAUGAUUUCAUGUUGUUGGAGCAGUCAUUAUAUCCCUGAGUGUUGUACAAGUUUCUGUAAGUUUGCUGUGGCUUAACCAAGAAAGAAGGCAUAUUGCAGAUUUCUACAGAAAUUAUGAUUCCAUGAAUGAUUUUGAAGAGAUGAGGAAGGCUGGUAUCUUUCAGAGUACAAAGUGAUUUUGGAAUGUAAAGAAUGGCACCAAUCCAGUGACAU